rnacentral:lncRNA from 1 species
UGUACCAGUGAACAAAACAUUGUAUUAUGUAUUACUAUUCUGUUACCUGUGCACCUUCAGGCUCUGGAUCAAGUAGCACAGUAACCAAGGUGAUGGUACCAAGUUACGAGAUACAUAACACUACAUUUAAGUGAUUCUUUACUACUAUUCAAGACUUAGUUUUUAUUGGUCAACAAUUUCAGCUAAAUUGUGAAAUUUUUGAUGAUGAGCUUCGAAAAUCGAUCGAUGCAAUAACAUGCUUCUGAAAAAUCCCACUGACUUGGUAUUCAAAUGUCAACUUAAAGGCCGAAUUAAGGGAACUAUUAUGACAACAUGUGGGACUCAUGGGAUUAAGAUGGAAUGCAACUCACAAUGAUCUAGACCCUGAUCGACGGCUGCUGGUCACUUCCCCUGGUGUAUGAGACCUCUCCCGGCUACGGCUUCGCAAAUCAUAAUGAUGUUCAGUAGACGCAGUAAAUUUUCGUGGUAUUCGAAAAAAUCUCAGACAUAACAUAAACGUAAGAAAUUACAACACGCUCGGAGUGAAAGGUGUGGAACGGUCUCGGAAAUAUUAAGGAUAUUUCUUAUACUCCGAGGAAGUAGGUACGGUAGGCAGAUGCGUAAGACAUGACUGCAUUCAAACGAAGGGGAAGAAU